GUGGGGAAUAUUGGACAAUGGGCGCAAGCCUGAUCCAGUCAUGCCGCGUGAGUGAUGAAGGCCUUAGGGUUGUAAAGCUCUUUCAGUGGGGACGAUAAUGACGGUACCCACAGAAGAAGCCCCGGCUAACUUCGUGCCAGCAGCCGCGGUAAUACGAAGGGGGCUAGCGUUGUUCGGAUUUACUGGGCGUAAAGCGCACGUAGGCGGAUCGUUAAGUCGGGGGUGAAAUCCUGGAGCUCAACUCCAGAACUGCCUUCGAUACUGGCGAUCUUGAGUACGGAAGAGGUGAGUGGAACUCCUGGUGUAGAGGUGGAAUUCGUAGAUAUUAGGAAGAACACCAGUGGCGAAGGCGGCUCACUGGGCCGGUACUGACGCUGAGGUGCGAAAGCGUGGGGAGCAAACAGGAUUAGAAACCCGAGUAGUCC
rnacentral:rRNA from 1 species